AGUGAACGCUGGCGGUAGGCCUAACACAUGCAAGUCGAACGGCAGCACAGUAAGAGCUUGCUCUUACGGGUGGCGAGUGGCGGACGGGUGAGGAAUACAUCGGAAUCUACUUUUUCGUGGGGGAUAACGUAGGGAAACUUACGCUAAUACCGCAUACGACCUACGGGUGAAAGCAGGGGAUCUUCGGACCUUGCGCGAUUGAAUGAGCCGAUGUCGGAUUAGCUAGUUGGCGGGGUAAAGGCCCACCAAGGCGACGAUCCGUAGCUGGUCUGAGAGGAUGAUCCGCCACACUGGAACUGAGACCCGGUCCAGACUCCUACGGGAGGCAGCAGUGGGGAAUAUUGGACAAAGGGCGCAAGCCUGAUCCAGCCAUACCGCGUGGGUGAAGAAGGCCUUCGGGUUGUAAAGCCCUUUUGUUGGGAAAGAAAAGCAGCAGGUUAAUACCCCGCUGUUCUGACGGUACCCAAAGAAUAAGCACCGGCUAACUUCGUG
rnacentral:rRNA from 1 species